UGCAGUCGAACGAACUUCCGUUAAUUGAUUAUGACGUGCUUGCACUGAAUGAGAUUUUAACACGAAGUGAGUGGCGGACGGGUGAGUAACACGUGGGUAACCUGCCCAGAAGCAGGGGAUAACACCUGGAAACAGAUGCUAAUACCGUAUAACAGAGAAAACCGCCUGGUUUUCUUUUAAAAGAUGGCUCUGCUAUCACUUCUGGAUGGACCCGCGGCGCAUUAGCUAGUUGGUGAGGUAACGGCUCACCAAGGCGAUGAUGCGUAGCCGACCUGAGAGGGUAAUCGGCCACAUUGGGACUGAGACACGGCCCAGACUCCUACGGGAGGCAGCAGUAGGGAAUCUUCCACAAUGGACGCAAGUCUGAUGGAGCAACGCCGCGUGAGUGAAGAAGGGUUUCGGCUCGUAAAGCUCUGUUGUUAAAGAAGAACGUGGGUGAGAGUAACUGUUCACCCAGUGACGGUAUUUAACCAGAAAGCCACGGCUAACUACGUGCCAGCAGCCGCGGUAAUACGUAGGUGGCAAGCGUUAUCCGGAUUUAUUGGGCGUAAAGCGAGCGCAGGCGGUCUUUUAAGUCUAAUGUGAAAGCCUUCGGCUCAACCGAAGAAGUGCAUUGGAAACUGGGAGACUUGAGUGCAGAAGAGGACAGUGGAACUCCAUGUGUAGCGGUGAAAUGCGUAGAUAUAUGGAAGAACACCAGU
rnacentral:rRNA from 2 species